GGGAGAGAGACAGUGGAAAGGAGAGGGGAGAGAGACAGUGGAAAGGAGAGGGGAGAGACAGUGGACAGGAGAGGGGAGAGAGACAGUGGACAGGAGAGGGGAGAGAGACAGUGGAAAGGAGAGGGGAGAGAGACAGUGGAAAGGAGAGGUGAGAGACAGUGGAAAGGAGAGGGGUGAGAGACAGUGGACAGGAGAGGAGAGAGAGACAGUGGAAAGGAGAGAGAGAGACAGUGGAAAGGAGAGAGAGAGACAGUGGAAAGGAGAGGGGAGACAGUGGAAAGGAGAGGGGAGAGAGACAGUGGACAGGAGAGGGGAGAGAGACAGUGGAUAGGAGAGGAGAGAGAGACAGUGGAAAGGAGAGAGGGAGACAAUGGACAGGAGAGGGGAGAGAGACAGUGGACAGGAGAGGGGAGAGAGACAGUGAACAGGAGAGGGGAGAGAGACAGUGGACAGGAGAGGAGAGAAAGACAGUGGACAGGAGAGGAGAGAAAGACAGUGGAAAGGAGAGAGGGAGACAGUGGAAAGGAGAGAGAGAGACAGUGGAAAGGAGCGGGGUGAGAGAGUGGACAGGAGAGGAGAGAGAGACAGUGGAAAGGAGAGAGAGAGACAGUGGAAAGGAGAGGAGAGACAGUGGAAAGGAGAGGGGAGAGACAGUGGACAGGAGAGGGGAGAGAGACAGUGGACAGGAAAGGGGAGAGAGACAGUGAACAGGAGAGGGGAGAGACACAGCGGAAAGGAGAGGGGAGAGAGACAGUGAACAGGAGAGGGGAGAGAGAUAGUGAACAGGAGAGGGGAGAGAGACAGCGGAAAGGAGAGGAGUGAGAAACAGUGGACAGGAGAGGGGAGAGAGACAGCGGAAAGGAGAGGAGAGAGAGACAGUAAACAGGAGAGGGGAGAGAGACAGUGAACAGGAGAGGGGAGAGAGACAGUGAACAGGAGAGGGGAGAGAGACAGCGGAAAGGAGAGGGGAGAGAGACAGUGAACUGGAGAGGGGAGAGAGACAGCGGAAAGGAGAGGAGUGAGAAACAGUGGACAGGAGAGGGGAGAGAGACAGCGGAAAGGAGAGGAGAGAGAGACAGUAAACAGGAGAGGGGAGAGAGACAGUGAACAGGAGAGGGGAGAGAGACAGUGGAAAG
ensembl:lncRNA